UACGGGGGGGGCAAGCGUUGUUCGGAGUUACUGGGCGUAAAGGGUGUGUAGGCGGUUGUUUAAGUUUGGUGUGAAAUCUCCCGGCUCAACCGGGAGGGUGCGCCGAAUACUGAAUGACUAGAGUGCGGGAGAGGAAAGUGGAAUUCCUGGUGUAGCGGUGAAAUGCGUAGAUAUCAGGAGGAACACCGGUGGUGUAGACGGCUUUCUGGACCGUAACUGACGCUGAGACACGAAAGCGUGGGUAGCAAACAGG
rnacentral:rRNA from 1 species